UUCCCCCGUUUUUGGCAAUGGUAGAACUCACACUGGUGAGGUAACAGGAUCCGGUGGUUCUAGACUUGCCAACUAUGGGGCGAGG
rnacentral:pre_miRNA from 21 species